AUCUUGCAUGUUUGUGACGGAAGUGCAGCACGGGACGCGGCGGACGCAGUGAAUUGGAGGCUGGAGCGACUGCUGGACGGUGCCAUGGAGGCCACUUUCUCAGAGAGGCGACACCUCAUCGUCAAGAGGAAAAUCCCGAUGGCCACCAUCCGUCGUCGAUGAAAACAAAGUCUGGAAAGAGCUGAGUCGGAUAAAAAAAUGCCGACUUGCAGGACACCAACGAGUUGGAACUCUCCCG